UAAGGAAUCUUCCACAAUGGACGCAAGUCUGAUGGAGCAACGCCGCGUGAGUGAAGAAGGCUUUCGGGUCGUAAAACUCUGUUAUUGAAGAAGAACGUGUGUGACAGUAACUGGUCAUGCAGUGACGGUAUUCAAUCAGAAAGUCACGGCUAACUACGUGCCAGCAGCCGCGGUAAUACGUAGGUGGCAAGCGUUGUCCGGAUUUAUUGGGCGUAAAGCGAGUGCAGGCGGUCUUUUAAGUCUGAUGUGAAAGCCUUCGGCUUAACCGAAGAAGGGCAUCGGAAACUGGGAGACUUGAGUGCAGAAGAGGAGAGUGGAACUCCAUGUGUAGCGGUGAAAUGCGUAGAUAUAUGGAAGAACACCAGUGGCGAAGGCGGCUCUCUGGUCUGUAACUGACGCUGAGGCUCGAAAGCGUGGGUAGCAAACAGGAUUAGAUACCCUGGUA
rnacentral:rRNA from 1 species